rnacentral:rRNA from 1 species
UACAGAGGGGGCAAGCGUUAUUCGGAAUUAUUGGGCGUAAAGGGCGCGUAGGCGGUGCGGUAAGUCACCUGUGAAAUCCCCGGGCUCAACCUGGGAACUGCAUUUGUGACUGUAGAGCUGGAGUACGGUAGAGGGGGAUGGAAUUCCGCGUGUAGCAGUGAAAUGCGUAGAUAUGCGGAGGAACACCGAUGGCGAAGGCAAUCCCCUGGACCUGUACUGACGCUCAUGCACGAAAGCGUGGGGAGCAAACAGG